CAGGGGACAGCCCCCUCCAGUGCUGGAGCCACACCCUUGAUGGAGGGCCCCGGUGGGUGAGGUCUGUAGCUCCUGGAAACAGACCCCAGAGCGGCGGCAAGAAAGGAGUUGGUCUCCACAAUCCGCCCAAAGCCAAGAAGACUUUGGAUAAGUCAUUAUGGAGAAAGCUAAGGAUCCCUGCGUUGUCUUGAAAGCACACCAGCCGGGAAAUCAGAAGGCCUGGGUUUGAAUUCCAGUUACUCACAAAUGUAAGUGAAAGUGGGCAGGCCAGUGACUCCAGCUCAACCACACCAUGGAGGAUGUCUCUGUGGUCUCAUGUCCACCUUCAUUUGCAAGAUGUCUGCCACAGUUCCAGAUAAUCCAUGGGAUCCCCGGGGAAAGAAGACAACUCCUCCUGUAUUGUGACAACUAGCAGGCACACAAAAGUGAACAUCACGUGGGCCUUGACCUGGAGAGCUAGCAAGCAAACCGGCAUCCCAUGUCAUUUCAAAAUUGUAUAGUAAGCAAGGAGAGGCAUGCAGUGUUCUGGAAGCACAGAGAAGGAUCCCUCAGCUCUACUGAGGGACGAUUCCUGGGGAGAGACCAAGUGGACUGGCUAUAGAUGCUGAGAAUGAGUUUGACUAUAAAGACAAUGCUGUAAGGCCUUGAACUUCAUCUGUGGACUCUAAAAAAUGCAAAAGAGCUGGAGAGAAAUGGCUACCUGCUGUGGAAGACCAGGCCCACCCUGUAUCCUCAGCCCUCUGCUCUCUCGACUUUGGGCCUAAAACUAUGUGUGAACAAGAAGAGCAGCUGUCACUAUAUGUAUGAAGGCACCCAGCUGGGGGUGGACAACAUCGAGACCUGCAUCCAGAAGACAUUUUGUGGCUCCAAGGAAGGACAAGGUCCUAGGCAUGAGGUUGCAGGGGAAUAAAUUCCCUCCAGCUGCAUCCAAAUGGGAUGCUUGACCAGACUGUCAGCUUGCUCCCUGGUAUUACCACCCCAUACUGAAAAGCAAUCCACAUAAGGAGCUCCAGCACCAGCGAAAGUCUAAAGCUUAGAUUUCUUAAAGAGGAAGAAGAGUCACAGAGAAUCCUAUAGAGGAUCCCCUCCCCCCAGCCCCAGCCUGUGCUUAAUUGAGUGGCUUAAGGGACUUGCCUCCUCUUCAAGAUUAAGAGGUGGGUGUGAAUAUUUUCCUCUGGCCCCCUUAUAUGUUCUUGAUUACAGUAAUAAAAAUGCUAAGCUCUAUUGCCUCUCACUGGAGUAAAGGCAGCUGAAAACUCCUCAUUCCCUGAAGAACCUAAUUGUUGAUUCUAGUGCAUCUAAACAGGUGUUCUUUAGAUUGCUUUUUCUAAUGCCUUUUCACUGGAAAGAUCAAUUUAAAUGUUGCUUUGAGCUAAUCAGUGAUUGCUUCUGUAUUCAUCCAAAUUUAUAUCUUUGCUUCUGCGUGCUAGAUGAGACAUUACUUUCAAAGUCUAUAAACUUAAAUAAGGGAGGUGAUUUCUAAUUUAGCUCUUUGUCCUCUUCUGUCUUCCAUAUUUUAUGCAAAAUAUGCAUGUAUUUCUUUUUGUUAUUUAAAAUCCUAGUUGAAACCUGUGUUUGAACGUCCUGAGUCAUCUUUGGAUGCCCUAUAACGCCACGUGUGAAUUUCCCCAGUCCCGUCUCUCCAGAAAGCUCACGUUCACGCAAGGUUCUCAUCAAAUGCCAGCUGCUCCAUGAAACCAGGCUGCAGUCUCCAACCAGCUCUCCUGGAGUCAGUAUCCGAACAAGGGAUCUGGAGAGGGUUGCAUCUGAUUUUCCAAACCCCACGGUACUCUGCACCUUUCUGAUUUAUCUCAUCUGUGGGUAUUUGCUCCUGGCCUUUUUUCACCCAUGGUGAGCACGUGAAACUUCUUCAGGCGACACAGAGGGUGUACUCUGCUGAACCACAGGAAUAGACUAAAAAAUAGUUGUUGCUUAAUGAAUUGUAGGUGUAUAGUUUUGAAGAAUGACAUUUUAUUUCUUUUUUUUUUUUUUUUUAAGUUUUAUUUAUUUUUGAGAGAGAGGGAGGGGGAGGAUUAGAGAGACAGGAAGACACAGAAUCUGAAGCAGGCUCCAGGCUCUGAGCUGUCAGCAAAUAGUCUGACACGGGGCUUGAACCCAUGAAACAUGAGAUCAUGGCCUGAGCCGAAGGCCGAUGCUUAACCGACUGAGCCACACAGGCGCCCCAAGAAUGAUGUUUUAAAGUAAAGUGUACCCGGAUGGAGAAAUGAUGGAUGUGGCUCUUCAAUCAAGUCCUCAGAACAUAAUCCUUUAGAACUUGCAGGCCAUCUAUCAGCACUCUCUCUUUCACACGCAAAGAACCCCUGGUUCCGAGAGUCCUGGGUCUUCCUUAAGGUCACCUGGUGGGGAAAGACCAGAAUUCAGCCAGCAGAUCUUCUGAAGUGCUCUUCCAGACAUACCUUCAGGCAUAAUUUAACAUGUAUCAGUUUAUCCUUGAGUGUAAAGUACACUUCAUGAUUGGUGACCGGCUAACUAUUCAUAGUUCCUCACUCCCUCCCUUUUAGUGCCUGUUUCUAAGCAGCAAAGUUGUGGUUCAGUGACUUCUGUCUGGAUAAUAUGAAAACAGGGCACCCGGCCAAUUUUGAUGAGCUAACUAUUUCCCUAAAUUAUCAUGCCUAAGCAAAAGGCCCCAAACCUGCUGUUCAACACUUAUCAUUGGAUCUGGGGGAUGGGCUCUACACAGGCAUAUCAUCAAAUAACUGGAAUUUUGCAUUUGCGAUUGUCAAGCAGUGAAAAUUGUCAUCCUUAGAAAUGACUGACAGUUCCCCUGCCUCAUUUCUGCUACACUGAGUUAGGUAAAGAAAAAAAAAAUCACCUUCACUCUUUUUACAGAUUUCUUGCUGAAGACCCAUGUGACAGGAGUAUAAAUUUUCACCAGAAAUUGAUGGGAGAACGGACACUUCAAAGUGCCUGAAAGACUUUGCAAAAGGUCCCAAUUAGCAGAAUGCAGCUAACAUCUUAAAAAAAGAAAAUAGAAUAAAUGUUGCAGUGGGAAUGAA